GUCCCAAUUACCCUCAUCUCAUCAUUUUGAAUUUGAAAGCUCAAAGUCAAACCAUCGACUCACAACGCAAUCAUUGUAGAAGAAAUAUCUACCUAGUAUUGGGCGACCAAAUUUUCAACAAAGAGAACUGAUUCGUGUAUAGCAAGUUCUUAUAUAGAUGGAGGCAAUCUGACUGGAGAAGAUGACAUUGGCAAGCGACGAUGAAGUGUUGGAGAUUAUGACUGGAAAAGGUGAGGCUAUUGGAGAUAGAGACAAGCAGAUAAAAAAUGUUGGGAUGAAUACUGGAAUUCCAGAAGAGAAGAUGGAGACAGAUUUAUUCUUAAUUAGUAAUAAUUUUUUAUUAAUUCUAUUAGUUGGUCAUAUUAUUUACAAAGAAUUUUUACUGAAUUUACUAAGCAAUAUAUAUUUUUAUUUGGUUUCAUAUAUAUUUAUAUAAUGAAUUUUUAUUA